rnacentral:rRNA from 1 species
UACAGAGGUCCCAAGCGUUACUGAGAAUCACUGGGUUUAAAGGGUGCGUAGGUGGUCCGUUAAGUCAGUUGUGAAAUCCCCGGGCUCAACCCGGGAACUGCCUUUGAAACUAGAUUGCUAGAAUCCUGGAGAGGUGAGUGGAAUUCCGAGUGUAGAGGUGAAAUUCGUAGAUAUUCGGAAGAACACCAGUGGCGAAGGCGACUCACUGGACAGGUAUUGACGCUGAGGUGCGAAA